GCGCCCAUAGUUGAAUGGAUACAACGGAAGAUUGCGGAUCUUCUGGUGAAGGUUCGAUUCCUUCUGGGCGCA
rnacentral:tRNA from 2 species